CACGUAGUUAGCCGUGGCUUGUUUUUCAGGUACUGUCAUUAUCAUCCCUGAUCAAAGAGCUUUACGACUCGAAAGCCUUCAUCACUCACGCGGCGUUGCUGCAUCAGGCUUUCGCCCAUUGUGCAAUAUUCCCCACUGCUGCCUCCCGUAGGAGCCUGGACCGUAUCUCAGUUCCAAUGUGGCCGAUCACCCUCUCAGGUCGGCUACGCAUCGUGGCCUUGGUGAGCCGUUACCUCACCAACUAGCUAAUGCGCCGCGGGUCCAUCUCAAAGCGGAUUGCUCCUUUUCUUGCUGCAUCAUGUGAUGCUACAAUCUUAUGCGGUAUUAAUCUUCCUUUCGAAAGGCUAUCCCCCACUUUGAGGCAGGUUACCCACGUGUUACUCACCCGUCCGCCGCUAAGAUCAUGUCAUAUAAAUACGACAAUCUCUCCGCUCGACUUGCAUGUGUUAGGCACGCCGCCAGCGUG
rnacentral:rRNA from 1 species